rnacentral:rRNA from 1 species
CCGCGUGCGGGAAGAGGCUUAGGGUUGUAAACCGCUUUCAGCAGGGAAGAAAAUGACGGUACCUGCAGAAGAAGGUGCGGCCAACUACGUGCCAGCAGCCGCGGUGACACGUAGGCACCAAGCGUUGUCCGGAUUUAUUGGGCGUAAAGAGCUCGUAGGCGGUUCAGUAAGUCGGGUGUGAAAACUCUGGGCUUAACCCAGAGCCGCCACCCGAUACUGCUGUGACUUGAGUCCGGUAGGGGAGCGGGGAAUUCCUGGUGUAGCGGUGAAAUGCGCAGAUAUCAGGAGGAACACCGGUGGCGAAGGCGCCGCUCUGGGCCGAGACUGACGCUGAGGAGCGAAAGCAUGGGUAGCAAACAGGAUUAGAUACCCUGGUAGUCCAUGCCGUAAACGUUGGGCACUAGGUGUGGGCAUCAACCAACGAUGUCCGCGCCGUCGCUAACGCAUUAAGUGCCCCGCCUGGGGAGUACGGUCGCAAGACUAAAACUCAAAGGAAUUGACGGGGGCCCGCACAAGCAGCGGAGCGUGUUGCUUAAAUUCGAUGCUACGCGAAGAACUUAACUAGGUUUGACAUGUACGGACUAGCCACGAGAUGUGGUGU